rnacentral:lncRNA from 1 species
GACAACAUGGGAUUAUGUGCAUACACACAAGCACGUGUACACACAUGAACGCCACACAGGACCUCAGAGAGUGGCCGGCCCACAUGAACUGCUAGUCACCACUAUUUGUAUUGUCAGAGACUUACUGGAUACUGCACGCAUACUCACGAGUCCUCACCACCUCCUGUCUGCUUCUUAGGAGGAGAUGACUUGUUACAGCUGCCACAAUGAACCCAUACAGAGAGGAAGAGGAUGAGGGAGAGUCGAGAAGGAUUCCCCGUGUGACUGCCUGGCUGUCCCAGAGGCUGAUGAUAUGGUUUGUUGAGCUGGAGAAUGAUGGAGAAGCCACGUGGCCUAUUUGCAAAGAGCAGGACCCUGACUGGGGACACGGGACAGAUAACUGUGGCUCCUCUGGCCCACAGCGGGCCCUGUGGAUCUGCUGACACACUGAGUGCAGAGGACAUCGGACCCGGACACGAGCUGCCCUGCCCUCCACGCAAAUGAGCCUGAGGCCGUCCAGCCAACAGUGCUGAUGAAUUUCCAUCAGCCUUCAGGCAUCAUUUUCUCAUAAUUACAGCAGGGUCCACUGAGAACACGGAGCUGGCAUGCCCCUAGAACAAGGCGAAUCCCUCUCUGAGGAUCCACGUAAGGAGAAGGGAAUUUUUUUUUCCUGAGAGUUAGAGGAAAAAUAAAAUCUGAUUUAAUUCUUGGGAAAUUGCCUUU